UACGUAGGGUGCGAGCGUUGUCCGGAAUCAUUGGGCGUAAAGGGCGCGUAGGUGGCCCGGUCAGUCCGUGGUGAAAGCGCGGGGCUCAACCCCGCGUCGGCCAUGGAUACUGCUGGGCUGGAGCACUGUAGAGGCAGGCGGAAUUCCGGGUGUAGCGGUGGAAUGCGUAGAGAUCCGGAAGAACACCGGUGGCGAAGGCGGCCUGCUGGGCAGUUGCUGACACUGAGGCGCGACAGCGUGGGGAGCAAACAGG
rnacentral:rRNA from 1 species